UGUCACACCUGUAUGUCAAGUUGCGUUUUUGUCCUGUCUCCAGUUGUUUUUUGACUUCCUGUUUUAUUUUGGAAACUAACUCCCUCUCGUUUCAGGUCCCUUGCCCUUCCUCAUGUGUCACCGGUCUGAUUGUCUCCCCUGAUUCCUGAUUGUGUCCACCUGUUCCCACAACUCCCUCAUGGGUCCCUUGCCCUUCCUCAUGUGUCACCGGUCUGAUUGUCUCCCCUGAUUCCUGAUUGUGUCCACCUGUUCCCACAACUCCCUCAUGGGUACUUAUAGUCUGCGUCGCCCCUUGUCCUGUGCCAGUGUGUCUUGUUGUUUUGCCCUGCACACCAGCCCUCACGUCACGAGUCAAGUCAAGUCCGAUAACGUUUGUCACGUCCUUUUGAUCCCUGUUACGUUUCCUCGUUUAAGAGAGAUUUUGAGUUUUUGCCUUUUGAAUUUUGAUCUCAACCUUUUUCCUCAUUAAGAGAGAUUUUGAGUUUUUUCCUUGUUAUUAAUAAAAGCAAUAUCAGCUGAACCCUCUGCGUCCGAGUCCUCCUCCUCCCUGCCUGAC
ensembl:lncRNA